rnacentral:lncRNA from 1 species
GUCGCUCCCGCCGCUGCCGCUCUCGACGGCGUCGCGGUGGGUGGUGGGCGCGGACGGGCGGCGCGUGAAGCUGGCGUGCGCGAACUGGGCGUCGCACCUGGAGCCCGUGGCGGCGGAGGGCCUGUCGCGCCGCGGCCUUGGGGACAUCGCGGCGCGCGUGGCGGCGAUGGGGUUAAACUGCGUCAGGCUCACCUGGCCGACCUACCUCGCCACCAACGCCACGCUGGCGAACCUGCCGCUGAGAGCGUCGCUGGAACGCCUUGGUAUGCCGGAGUCCGUGGCCGGCGUCCGGGUCAACAACCCCGGACUCCUCGACCUGCCCCUCAUCGAUGUGUUCCAGGUGAGCGUCUCUUCGAAUAAGCAAACACGGAGUAAAUGACAACGUUGGUUUCUCCAAGUUGUUAAGUAAACUUAUUAUUAAUGGCAGUUCUAAGAAAUGGCUGUUUUUUUUUUAACAACCACCAUGGGAAAUGGAAGCUGUUUCUAUUGUUAGCGAGUUCGAGUCUUCGAGAUGGCGCCAAAUUUUACCGUGUCUUACCGCUAGAUGCUACUACCUCCGUUUCAGAUUAUAAGACUUUCUAGCAUUACCCACAUUUAUAUAGAUAUUAAUGAAUCUAAGCACACGUAUAUGUCUAUAUUCAUUAACAUAUAUAUGAAUGUGGACAAUGCUAGAAAGUCUUAUAAUAUGAAACGGAGGAAGCAGUAUUUUCGCUGAUAGAGUGCAAGAAAAUACUCCCUCCGUCCAAGAGUUGUAGGAGAAAUUAAGUAAAGGUUAAGGUGAAACCACUUUCAUGUACCCUGGUUGAAUCCCCAUGCCACCAUCCGAUUCACCGGGAUGGGGAAUAUAACUAUGAGGGAUGGUUGAAAACUUGGAAUGUGGAAAUAUACUCUAGAAAUGUUUAUAGAAAAUAUUCGUGGACUAAAUUUAAACACUAGAAAUGCUUAUAUUUGUGGACGGAGGGAGUAGAUAACGUUGUACCUAGAAGAACAUUUACAUUUUUUGUUGUUGAAAGCUAUGGGCUCAUUUAAACAUUUAAGUCAGAGUCCAUGUAAAUUUUACAUUUUUCUGAAGAAAUAGCUAUUAUGAUGCAUAAGGCUUAAUUGUGGAAGCAACAGUAUGCAAUGAAUCAAUUGACUUAUAGCUAAACCAACUGCAGGUCAUGUGGUUUAAUUUAACAAAAACAACUUGCUAAGAAGUCAAAAUUUUGCAGAUUAUUGAUUUUGAAAUCAGAUGAUCUCGUCACAAUCUUUUCACAAGACUUGCCAAAGAAACCUAGGGUAUCCUCUUUUUUUUUUGCUUAUUUAAUAAGAACAAUCAAUUUCAAGUUGAAGGUUUAAGCAUAAUCAACAAUCUGAUCGUCCUUUUCUAUUUCAGGAAAAACCAAUGGUAAUUGUUUGAGUAGCUUUCCCUUUUUCCUUUUGUUUCUCUUCCAAACCAGUUUAUGUGAAGAUGACAUUAUUCCUAAUAGUCACCAAAUUGAUGGUCCAAGAUAAGGGUGCCUUGAAAGUCUCUAGCUAGAUAAAUUCUUUCUUUGUAAAAUAUGUUCUGACGAUAGAUGGCAACUGGGGUCAUUAGGUGGUCUGCUUCCUUUUUUUAAAAAAAAAAAUCCAAACCAGGGAUGUAUUAGUUAUCUCUCAUUUUACAAUGAUGUAUCUAGUUAGUUGACCUAGUAAUCUACCAAAACAUGUGUUCACAUACUCAGGAGUAUAUUCUGGGAGAGUUUACCCGUACUAAACAUUAAAUGAAAUAAAGUAAACGAGAUUUUUGCUAUCAAGUGUUGAAUUCUGAUUAUUUACUCCUUCUGUUAAAUUAAUAACCAUAGGAAGUGGUGUCAGCUUUGGCCAAGAACAAUAUAAUGGUUAUACUUGAUAACCAAAUGACAACUCCAGGAUGGUGCUGCAGCGAAAACGACGGUAAUGGCUUUUUUGGUGACAAGUACUUUGGCCCAGAAGAAUGGUUGAAAGGCCUUAGUGCAAUGGCAACAAUGUUUAGGAACACAAAAAAUGUUGUGGGCAUGAGUUUAAGAAACGAGCUCCGAGGCUCCAAAAAUGUUAGUUUGUGGUUCAGGUUUGUUACUUACACACUGAGUCUUACUUUUGCUUAUAGAAGUAUUGAAAAGGCUUUUAUGUGUGACUCGUAUCAUUGGAAAAUUUUCGUUUAUAAUCUAUUCCAAACUUAGGUACAUGCAACUGGGUGCUGAAGUUGUGCAUGCGGCAAACCCUGGCGUUCUUGUUAUUUUGUCAGGCCUGAACUUCGACAAUACUCUGGAUUUCUUGGUCCCAAAUCAAAUUCAGCUAACAUUUACUGGAAAGUUAGUCUUUGAGCAGCACUGGUAUGGUUUCUCAGAUGAUGGAAACUGGGGAUCUCAGAACCAAAACGAUGCUUGUGGGAUGGUUGUUGAUUCCAUAAAGAAAAAAGGACUGUUCCUACUUCAGCAAGGCUGGCCACUGUUUUUCUCCGAGUUUGGGUUUGACAUGUCUGGGACACAUGUCGCUGACAAUCGCUAUCUUACCUGCUUCUUAACCGUGGCAGCUGAAAUGGAUCUGGACUGGGCUAUUUGGGCUCUGCAAGGGAGUUAUUAUAUCAGGGAGGGUACUCUAGCUUAUGAUGAAUCUUAUGGAUUGCUAUCCUGGGAUUGGUGUACAGCUAGAAACCCCAGCUUUAUUAAAAGGAUUAAUGCUCUGCAAUCACCAUUCCAAGGUUUGUACUUAACCUAUCUCAGUUUUAUUCUUACAUAGCAACGUUGUUAGUAAUACAACUCUCAAGAUUUCUGGAACUGUGCUGUUGUUCUACGUUUUGAUAAUCACAUUAAAAAUGGAGCUCUCUGGUAAAAUUGAAGUUAUAAUGAAUCCUCAGUUGCUGAACCAACAGAAAAAACCUGUGCAUAUUUCAUUGGUUGAAUUGGACCGCUUUUCAGUUUUUCACCUUUUUGGGUUGUGUUGGAACAGAUUUAUUGGAACAUAUAUGAAAUCGGAGCAUUAACUAGUAUGCACACAUUGGUUUAGCCCUCAUCAUAGAAUAACGUGUCCCUUGAAAAGAAAUCACUUGGAUGGAUACACAGGCCGAUGUGCAAGAAAGUAAGCAAAGGGGCUAUGUAACUUGUAAAAGUCCACUAAAAGUUUGGUCACAACAAUAUGCACUGUAUUUCCUUGAGCUAUACAUAUUAAUGAAUAUUCCAUCCUCCAGGUCCCGGGCUUCCAAACAGUCAACAGCCUUACAAUGUUAUAUUCCAUCCUCUAUCUGGGCUUUGUGUCUUGGUGAAAUCUUCAGAGGCACUUGAGUUGGGUCCAUGUGAUAAAUCAAAUGCUUGGAAUUAUACCAAAGGAUACGAGUUAAUACUCAAACAAACUGGACAAUGCCUCCAGGCGAAGUCUGUUGGUGAGAAUGCAAAGCUUGGCACCAGUUGCAGCAAAUCCAGUUCAAAGUGGAAGCUACUAUCAAAUUCAGGAAUGCAUGUUUCAACUGAACUCACCAAUAACGGAACCAGAGUAUGCUUGGAGGCCAGUCCUGAUGGAAAUAUCACGACAAAUCAGUGCAAGUGCCUAACCGUAGAUCCGAAUUGCAAUCCUGAGAGUCAGUGGUUCAAAAUUAUAUUAAGCAGUAAACACAUACCAGGCGGCACCUCCAUUUUGCAGUUGCCAUCUCAUGGUCCCUGGUCUCCAACAUCAUCUAGUUAAUCUUGGACUAUUUCGAAAAUAUCCUGUUUGAAUUUGAUCAAGGACGAAUAUGACAGAGCAAGUGUCAAGUUCCAGAUGGUUAUUCAAGGCAAUUGGAUGACUAUAGUAUUGCAGCUUGUAAAAUAAUACACAGAACACCGUAUGUGUACAGUAGUAGUACCAUUGAUUUCUUGUUUUCUAGAGUCCUGUUGAAAUAUGUCCUAUCAUAUGUGUACAAAAAUUAAGAAUAAAAGAAUGUACAGAUAAAUACCCUGCUUUUUCUUUGAUACUACAGAGAAUAAAAGGGAUAUCUUUUUAUAGUUGGUGUCAUAUGUUGACAUGGGUGAAAACAUUUUUUAGCCGGGUUGGCCGAAGACAUGGCCAACCAAUUACUUCCUCCGUUUCACAAUGUAAGUCAUUCUAGCAUUUCCCAUAUUCAUAUUGAUAUUAAUGAAUCUAAAUAGAUAUAUAUGUUUAGAUUCAUUAAGAUUAAUAUGAAUGUGGAAAAUGCUAAAAUAGUUUACAUUGUGAAACGGAGGGAGUACAUCAAGAUUUAGAGAGAAAAGUUACAAAUUACAAAUUGAUGUUGACAGUAGGCUGUCGAGGGCGGGGCUAAAGGAAAUAAAGCCGGCGCAUCUUAGAACACAACUAUUGUUAGCGUGCCGGUAACAGCAAACACCAACUACUGUUCUUGCAUCUUGAACAAACCCCGCUUCGCGCCACACCAUGAUUUUCUCCUUCCUUCACUUCCGCGAACAGACAUCAACUCUGCAUUGCUUGUCACUGCAUCCGCACUUGGCGAAGCCCAUGCGAAUAUGCGAUGAUGGUGUAAGUCCGCCCGCACAUACAGCCAGAGAAACGCAUCCGGUGUUGAGCAUUUCCACGAACAGGUGGUGGGUGUCCUGUGGGUGCCCCCCUCACGCGCACGGAGCAAGGACGUUGUGCGUUCUGCUCGGAGAGAGGCGAACAGGGGCCCGAGGCGGAGCAGACGGAGCGCGUAGGCAAGGCGGGAAGGGAGAGCCACCGUCAACUCGACGGGAGCGACGACGGAUUCGGGCGAGGUGGCGAGCGCGCGGGGGCUUGAUCAAAGGAGGGCCGCGUGGAGCUGAUGCGCGUCGCACAGAGCCACGCCGGCACACCGCGGGAGGUAUGAAAGGCGACGGCGGCGGCGGCGCCGUCGCAGGCGUGGCGGUGGCGAGGAGAGGCGGCCAUCGGAGUGCGCGCUUCCGCAGUUAAAGCCCCCAACCGCUUAACCGAACGAGCCCGGGCUGUCACGUUUCGCUAAUUAUCCAAGCGGACGAAGACCAUACGUGACACUGCAACCGGGGCCCACCGUCGUCCGGGCCCACCUGUCAUUCACACGUCUUUUUUCCUUUUAAACGCACUAGAUCCGCCUCGUUGGCAUUCUGCCACGCCAUAGUUACCAUGGCUUCCUCCGCUUGUCCCACUCCACUUCUCCUGCUGCUGCUCCCGCUCGCCGCCGCCGCCGCCUCGCUCCCGCCGCUGCCGCUCUCGACGGCGUCGCGGUGGGUGGUGGGCGCGGACGGGCGGCGCGUGAAGCUGGCGUGCGCGAACUGGGCGUCGCACCUGGAGCCCGUGGCGGCGGAGGGCCUGUCGCGCCGCGGCGUGGGGGACAUCGCGGCGCGCGUGGCGGCGAUGGGGUUCAACUGCGUCAGGCUCACCUGGCCGACCUACCUCGCCACCAACGCCACGCUGGCGAGCCUGCCGCUGCGGUGGUCGCUGGAGCGCUUUGGCAUGCGGGAGUCCGUCGCCGGCGUCCG